rnacentral:rRNA from 1 species
AGUACGUGAAACUGCUUAGAGGUUAAGCCCGAUGAACCUGAAUAUCCGUUAUGGAAAAUUCAUCACUAAUACUAUAAUAUAUAUCAUAUUGUAGAAAUAGUGUGCAAUUUUUCCAUAUAAGGACAUUGUAAUCUGUUAAUGUAAUAAAUAUUUAUCAUAAGAUCUUAUACUUAAGUUUAUUUAAAUUAGUUAUUUUCGGAUUUCUAACAUAGAAUAAAUGUAUUUGAUUUGAUAAAUCAUUGACAGAUUUAAUUAUAUAUAGUGCUUAAAUUUUUAACGAAAUUUUACAAUGCUGAAUAAAUCUAUUGAUUUAUUUAUAUUGUAUGCGCUUAUAUGAUUAACAAUGCGAUAGAUUCAGGAUACCUUCGGGACCCGUCUUGAAACACGGACCAAGGAGUCUAACAUAUGUGCAAGUCAUUGGGUAUUUUUAAUAAAACCCAAUGGCGUAAUUAACUUAACUGUUUUAAAUGGGAUUAGUUUAUAUUUUAUUAUGAAAUAUGAAUUCAAUCCCGGGGCGUUCUAUACAGUUAUGCAUAAUAAUAUUUAUAUUAUUUAUGCCUCUAACUAGAGC